rnacentral:rRNA from 1 species
AGUGAACGCUGGCGGUAGGCCUAACACAUGCAAGUCGAACGGCAGCACAGUAAGAGCUUGCUCUUACGGGUGGCGAGUGGCGGACGGGUGAGGAAUACAUCGGAAUCUACUUUUUCGUGGGGGAUAACGUAGGGAAACUUACGCUAAUACCGCAUACGACCUACGGGUGAAAGCAGGGGAUCUUCGGACCUCGCGCGAUUGAAUGAGCCGAUGUCGGAUUAGCUAGUUGGCGGGGUAAAGGCCCACCAAGGCGACGAUCCGUAGCUGGUCUGAGAGGAUGAUCAGCCACACUGGAACUGAGACACGGUCCAGACUCCUACGGGAGGCAGCAGUGGGGAAUAUUGGACAAUGGGCGCAAGCCUGAUCCAGCCAUACCGCGUGUGUGAAGAAGGCCUUCGGGUUGUAAAGCCCUUUUGUUGGGAAAGAAAAGCAGCAGGUUAAUACCCCGCUGUUCUGACGGUACCCAAAGAAUAAGCACCGGCUAACUUCGUG